UAAAUGUUAAAUCUAAAUGCUAAAUCUAAAUGUUAAAUAUAUAUGUUUAAUCUAAAUGUUAAAUCUAAAUCUAAAUGUUAAAUGUUAAAUCUAAAUGUGUUGGGCGAAACUAAAUAUUUAGCUAAUAUGCAAAUUCACGGUCGGAAACCGGAAGUGCCAAAAUAAAAGCUCCAGAAGGUCAUAUUGAUGAUUCUUGUGUCGAAGAAAACGAAUUAAAACCAAUUUAAGGGGGGAACAAUUACUUGGGGUGACGUUUCGUGUUAAUAACUACGUACAAUAGCAACAGCAACAACAAAAACUUUAUUAGAAAGACUCGAGUUUUCAGUGUCGCUUCUCCGUGUGGCGCGGAC